UACGGGAGGCAGCGGUGGGGAAUAUUGCACAAUGGGCGAAAGCCUGAUGCAGCUAUGCCGCGUGUAUGAAGAAGGCCUUAGGGUUGUAAAGUACUUUCAUCGGGGAGGAAAAACAAAACUAAUAAUUUUAUUUCUUGACGUUACCCGAAAAAGAAGCACCGGCUAACUCCGUGCCAGCAGCCGCGGUAAUACGGAGGGUGCUAGCGUUAAUCAGAAUUACUGGGCGUAAAGAGCACGUAGGUGGUUUUUUUAAGUCAGAUGUGAAAUCCCUGGGCUUAACCUGGAACUGCAUUUUGAAACUGAAAUACUAGAGUAUCGUAGAGGGAGGUAGAAUUCUAGGUGUAGCGGUGAAAUGCGUAGAUAUCUGGAGGAAUACCUGUGGCGAAAGCGGCCUCCUAAACGAAUACUGACACUGAGGUGCGAAAGCGUGGGGAGCAAACAGGGAUUAGAUACC
rnacentral:rRNA from 1 species